GAAUGUUGGGAGGCGUCGUUGGGCGUUUGGAAAAACCGAAUAAAAGCCGGGGACGAAGCUGCGCCUCACGCGCUGGAAAGGCGGUAAGGAUGGGUGUUUUAUGAUUUAUACCACUACCUUUCUGGAAAAUGCUUUCGGUGCUUUAUAAGUUCCCCUUUAGAGAGGGAGAAAAGGAGUCGCUGAGGGAAAUACCCGAGGAAUGGAAGAAGCUCGAAGAGUUGGGAGCUGGAGGACCCUGAGGAGGACCCUACCCCAGGAUGGGAAAGGUAGAAUCAGGACCCAGAUAAGUGCCUGAUUCUGGGGACGGGUCCUGUGGCCUGGAGGAUGGAGAUCAGGAUCCAAGGAGUGUGGUCCCUCCAACAUUAGACACCCCUACCUUAACACCUGUUGCCAUGGAGCUGCUCCAGCGCCGAGUCCACCUCUGUCUCUAUGGAGACGACAACACCGUUGAAAACAAACCUUGUGGAGUUAACCCACUCAAAGGAGUGCCUGUUUACUUGCCUGGUCUUGUGACUGGCCACUUACUGUGCAAAUACAGUUGUGUCCACCUCAGUCUUCAAAAGGAAGGUGCAGGGGCAUGUUGAUCGUUGUAUCAAUGUCUUAGCAUGCACUGAACCUCUUCUGUACCUGCUGAACCAUAUAAUCUGUUGUUUGCCUUAUGUACCAAUCUGAUUUGAGCGUUAAAGCCUUUGGCAGAACUACA